UUUACUGAUAGAAAGUCUGAGUAACUUUUUGUCUUUCUUCCUAUGAAGUGCCGCAGAAAGGUCAUGUCACCUACCUUCAUCAGUCCUGGAAAACAGUAAGGGAAAGACCCUCAGACAUGUCAUAACAGGAUAAAGGCUGCAGACUCACCAAGGAUCCAGAUGAUUACUGGCAAUUUGGUGGAGGAUUUUUCUUUAGCUGCUAUCACUUCAGGUCAAACCGUUCUUGUCUGUCAGUCAUGUAAUGGAAAUUUAUGGGGCCCACCUCGAAGAGCAUGCACAGAGAAGUCCAAAUUAAUCAUGAUUUAAUGACUCGUAAAUUACGGCUACAGGAUCGUACAGAGAGCAGACAAGAAGUGAAGAGGGAAAAAGAGGAAGCGAUGGCAUCAGAACGGACCUCGAGCUGGGACUCUACUAGA